GACGUAGGGCGCGAGCGUUGUCCGGAUUAUUGGGCGUAAAGAGCUCGUAGGCGGCUUGUCGCGUCGAAUGUGAAAACCCCGGAGCUCAACUCCGGGCCUGCAGUCGAUACGGGCAGACUGGAGUUCGGCAGGGGAGACUGGAAUUCCUGGUGUAGCGGUGAAAUGCGCAGAUAUCAGGAGGAACACCGGUGGCGAAGGCGGUUCUCUGGGCAUGUCCUGACGCUGAGGAGCGAAAGUGUGGGGAGCGAACAGG
rnacentral:rRNA from 1 species